UGGGGAAUUUUGGACAAUGGGGGAAACCCUGAUCCAGCCAUCCCGCGUGUGCGAUGAAGGCCUUCGGGUUGUAAAGCACUUUUGGCAGGAAAGAAACGUCAUGGGUUAAUACCCCGUGAAUCUGACGGUACCUGCAGAAUAAGCACCGGCUAAUUACGUGCCAGCAGCCGCGGUAAUACGUAGGGUGCAAGCGUUAAUCGGAAUUACUGGGCGUAAAGCGUGCGCAGGCGGUUCGGAAAGAAAGAUGUGAAAUCCCAGAGCUCAACUUUGGAACUGCAUUUUUAACUACCGGGCUAGAGUGUGUCAGAGGGAGGUAGAAUUCCGCGUGUAGCAGUGAAAUGCGUAGAUAUGCGGAGGAACACCGAUGGCGAAGGCAGCCUCCUGGGAUAACACUGACGCUCAUGCACGAAGGCGUGGGGAGCAAACAGG
rnacentral:rRNA from 1 species